GACGAACGCUGGCGGCGUGCUUAACACAUGCAAGUCGAACGGAAAGGCCCUGCUCUUGUGGGGUGCUCGAGUGGCGAACGGGUGAGUAACACGUGAGUAACCUGCCCUUCACUUUGGGAUAACCUCAGGAAACUGGGGCUAAUACCGGAUAGGAGCUCCUGCUGCAUGGUGGGGGUUGGAAAGUCUGGGCGGUUGGGGAUGGACUCGCGGCUUAUCAGCUUGUUGGUGGGGUUGUGGCUUACCAAGGUUUUGACGGGUCGCCGGCCUGAGAGGGUGACCGGCCAAAGUGGGACUGAGAUACGGCCCAGACUCCUACGGGAGGCAGCAGUGGGGAAUAUUGCACAAUGGGCGGAAGCCUAAGGCAGCAACGCCGCGUGGGGGUGAACGGCCUGGGGGUUGUAAACGGCUUUCGCCUGUGACGAAGCGUGAGUGACGGUAAUGGGUAAAGAAGCACCGGCUAACUACGUG
rnacentral:rRNA from 1 species